AAAAGGAACUGGACGACGAGGCCUUGGUGGACAUGGUGGUGAAGCAUUACCAGCCUUUUACUGUGCUCAACGACCAGGCAAUCAGGGGGCUGGUACAAUUACUUGACCCUUCAUAUGUUCUGCCCACCAGACAGGCUUUAAAGGCCAUGGUGGAGGAACGCUACCACCAGGGCAAAAGGGAGGCCAAGGCCCUUGUUCAGCAGGCUACUGCAGUCAGCCUAACUUCAGAUAUGUGGACAUCCAUGAAUAUGGAGGCCUACCUUGCAGUCAACUGCCACUUUAUUGCAGAUGGUGUGCUGAAUACCACACUGCUUGGGGUUCAGCAUUUCCCACAGAGCCAUACACAGCCCAUAACCUGGCUGAAGCUAAGGGUGCCAUUAUGGAGGAGUGGGGCAUCAGGCACAAGGUGACUUUUCUUCUAACUGAUGCAGCUUCCAACAUGCUUGCAUGUGGCAGGGAGCUGCAUUUGAAACAAGCCAUCUGCAUAGCUCAUGCCAUCAACCUGAUGGCAAAGAAAUCUUUGGAUGACACCCCUGGACUUGAGCAGCUGCGUACAAGUGCCAGAAGAAUUGUAACACUUUUUUGGUCUAGUACCACUUCUAAGGAAAGUCUAGCCCAGAUGCAGCAAUGCAUGGGAAGACCACAGCGUAAGCUGCUGAAGGAGGUGGAGACAUGGUGGAACAGCACCUAUAUCAUGUUGGAGAGGCUGCACUCAGAGAGAGAAGCUGUAAGUGCAGCUAUGGCUUCUCUCCCUUGUGAAGUCACCAUGUUUACUCCAAUGGAGUUUACCGUAAUUAAGGAGUGCCUCGAUGUGCUUGGCCCAUUAAAUGAGGCUACAAUUGAAUUGUCUGAGGAAAAGAGGGUGUCAGCCUCGAAGAUUCUUCCACUAUUGAAAAUGGUCUCACUAACCCUCGGUGAACAGCGUGGUUCCAUCCACACUGACAUGGCCCAACAUCUCACCAAAUCAAUACAACUAAAGUUAAUGGAACCCCUUAGCCGCUUCCAAAUGACCAGUAUCCUGACCCUCCCUACUCUCCUGGACCCACGAUUCAAAACUCUCGGCUUCCUCACUCCAUCCAAGGCUGACGAAGCUGUGAAAAGGCUCACCACUGAGUGUAGUCAAAUAAUAAGUGAAAUACCGGUAAAUUCAUCUCCACUUCCAUCAGCAGCGAUCGAUGAAGUCCCUUCCACCUCCUCUGGUAAAUUCAUAGAGAAAAUUUGAUUUUGUUGUGUUUAUUUUGUUAUGAUAUUUAAUACAUUUUCUGUCUAUUUUCCCUAGGUCAACUGUGGCGCCAUUUGGACGCAACUGUGCAGCAGUUGAGCAAACAAAGUAAUAGUGCCACAGCUGAUGCCAUUGUAGAGGUCCAGCGCUAUUUAAGAGAACCGCACAUCAAAAGAAAUGAUCCACUCCAAUACUGGGAAACACACAAACUAUUAUUUCCACACCUCUACAUGUUGCCAUUGGAA